rnacentral:rRNA from 1 species
AUAGAUCCGUAACUUCGGGAAAAGGAUUGGCUCUAAGGGUUGGGUGCGUUGGGCCUUAGUAAGAUGCACCGGGACCCGAAUGGGACUGCUUAGGGGGCAACUUCUUUGUGGACCCGUUCAGGACCUGGUUGCGGAAGACUUUGGCUGCCUCUCGGGGCGUCUGGCGCACGCUUAACAACCAACUUAGAACUGGUACGG